rnacentral:lncRNA from 1 species
UUUUUUUUUUUUUUUUUUUUGUCCUUUUAGGGCUGCACCUGCGGCAUGUGGAGGUUCCCAGGCAAGGGGUCUAAUCAGAGCCAUUGCUGCUGGCCGACGCCAGAGUGGACGUUUCCUAAAUACCCUGAUUGACGGGGGAGGGAGACCUGGCAAAGGAACUGGGAGCUUCGCCCUGAUUCUCCAUUGACCCGGCCUUGCAUUUUGGUUUCAAUGCUGUAAAGGACCCUGGCACGCAGGCCGGGGUGGCCGUGGUGUUAGAGUUACCUUCCCAAGGUGCAAAGGCUGCAGCUUUCGAGACGGCCUGUGAGUCAGCAGCAGCAGUGAGAUGUGAGUAGGGCGACUAUCACUGAUAAGGAAGGGAUGACUCAAGGCCCUGCGCUUUGUGUGGGUACCACUGCCUGACGCUCACACCGCCUGGGUGGGUGCUUUGUGCCAAGUUGGCGGGGAGAGGAGCCAGAAGUCAUCGAGAUUACGAAAGGGGAGCUUUCUUCCUGGAGGGACUGGGCAGGUGCGCCCACAAACACCCACGCGUCCCUUUCUGGCCCCCCCCCCCCCGCCCCCUCCGCCUCAAGUCCCUUUCUGUUCCAAGAACCAUCCAUGCGGGGAAACAUUUACUCACUUUGUUCUCCUUUAUUUCUUCCCCAAACCACACUCGUAAAUGCCAGGACUCAGGGGAAGAGCCUCCCCCUUCUUUGCUUCCCCAGAACUCAGAUCUACGGGACCCAUCUCAGGGGGCCCCCGCGAAUCCCCCAGGCAUUUCCCAGAAAGCUUCUGCCUUCCUGUCUGUAAAAGGCCAUGACAAAAGGAAUCCCAGGUCGUGCUGAGCAGAAACAGUCUUCCUGCUGGAUGGCUCCAUCCGCCCGGGGUGUCCACACCGGCACAGAUGAACCACCUCACUUCUGAGCCCCCGCUGCUCCGCCUCCCACUCAGCCGCCAGAGCAGCGUGUGUGGCACCUGAGCCUGCAGAGGAAGGGGCGGCCCCCGCAGGUUUCCUUCGUCAAGAUGUCCAGACCACUUCCCAGAUCUGGAUCAAUUCAGCUGACAUUUAUUCUGAAACUAGCAGGAGGGCUGUGCCAGCCUCUGCUGAGGGGCUUUCUCCCCAUUAAGGGACUUAGGGCAGCACCAGACGCCACAUCUUGAUGAUGCCCUCUGUAACCACAUCCUGCUGCCCAGCUGGUCGGCUCUAGCGCUGUGCUCUGGGGAGAUCUGCAGGCACUGGUUUGGGCUCUUUCCUGGGUCUUGGUGGCAGGGAGGGAGCCAGGGCAGGCGCUUGACUGGAGAAGAGCCUCCUCAGCCUGGGGCGAGGGCCCAGGUCGCCCCAGGAGCCUGGGAGUCGCGGAUGAACGGCUGUGUCCUCUUCUGCAGCUGAAGCCUGCCUGCCUUGCCUGUCUGGCUGCUGCCACUCACACCCAGACCACACGGCCCAGAAUUACUAGCAGCUGAUCCCUUCCAGAGCUUGCUGGCUGGCUCCGCCUGCACCCCUCAUUCUGCCUGCCUUUGUUCCCCACUGUCCCCUGGAAGGCCAUUGGGGGGCCUUGCCUCCUUGGCUAAUGAGACGAGGAGCCCCCGGAAGGCAGGGCUCUGGUCUGGCUUCUCUCUUCCUCCCCAGCUGUCAGCUCCCUGCUUGGAACAAGGCUUCGUGACCAAUUCCAAGAGAAUCUUAAACUUUCGAGGAGCCAGCCCUUGGCCAAGGGCACGUGGGAAGUUAGGGAUGGCUCACCCCUCCUUGCACAGCUGGAGCCCCCUGCCCCCAGCCCUGGAUCCUCCAGUUAAUACCUAGGUGGAAGGUAGGAGCUGAAAGGAUACGGGGACCUGCCAGCACCAAGGCCCAUGGAGGAGAGAGGGAAGCAAGAGGAUGGAGAGAUUGGGAAAGGGAUCCCAGGAGAGGAACGGGGCCGGAGCAGAGGAGACAGAGCCACGGAGAAGUGGGGAGGAAGACAGAGGGGGAGGGAGGCAGGGGACAGGGAGUGUGGCAGACAGCUGAGGGGCAGGGGUGCCGUGAUUUGUCCUAAUGACCGAGGAUCUACUGUGUGCCUGGGUCUCUGGUAGGCCCUCAGGGCUACAGUGCUUAAGAAGACAUGCUGUGUUCUCAUGGAUGACUGAUGACAAGUAUAUUCAUUUAAAAUAAAAGUUGUUGGGAGUUCCCAUCAUGCUCAGCAGUGAACGAAUCUGACUAGCAUCCGUGAGGACUCGGGUUCAAUCCCUGGCCCCGCUCAGUGGGUUCAGGAUCCAGUGUUGCUGUGAGCUGUGAUGCAGGUCGAAGAGGCGACUCAGAUCUGGCAUUGCUAUGGCUGUGGUGUAGGCUGGCAGCUACAGCUCCAAUUCAACCCCUAGCCUGGGAACCUCCAUAAGCCGCAGGUGCUGCCCUAAAGAAAAAAAGUCUUUUAAUUGUUAAAAAUAAAGCAGGUGACAGUCUAGUCUCAGGUAGAAGCGAGUUUCACCCAGAAGUUUCUGACUCCUAGUCAAGUGUUAUCACGUUAACAUGAAAGGCGAAUACACCAGACAGUGAAGGAGAUGCUUUUCCUGAGGCUGCAGUGACAGGGAGAGUGUUUUUCUUAUUUAUUUAUUUAUUGUCUGUUCUACGGCCGCACCCGCGGCAUAUGGACGUUCCCAGGCUAGGGGUCUAAUCAGAGCUACAGAUGCCAGCCUACACCACAGCCACAGCAACGCCGGAUCCUUAACCCACUGAGCGAGGCCAGGGAUCGAACCUGCAACCUCAUGGUUCCUGGUCGGGUUCGUUAACCACUGAGCCACGACGGGAAUGCCAAGAGAGUGUUCAUGAAGGAGAAAUGUCUCAAAGCAAAGGAAGGGGCCUGGGUUUUAUACAAGCAGGUAAACAAGGGCGUCACCCUGAGUCUCACAGGAGCCUUGAGGGAGGAUGGAGAUGGGUCUUAUCUUGAACUAUGUGAAGACGGCUGGUCCUUUGGGUUUAGCCUUGGAACGCAAAAGGAUGGGGGACUUUGAAAAACCAAGGGUAGGGGAUUUCUUAAGCACUGCUGUUUUCCAGAAGCACAGGGGCUCAGGUAGAUUCAACCUUGUCACUAAUAUGGCCCCGCCUCCAUUAUUCGAAAAACUGAAUGUGCCUGUUUCUCUCUGCUUGUUACCUGCCCCUUAACUUUGGAGUUUCUGCGGGUGGCACACCGGGCCCUUCGGGAUUUGGCUCCUUCCCGCUCCCAAUUAGCUGAAGCAUAAAGCCCAGGGAAGGGCACCGGGAGGCUCACCCAUCACCUCCGCACACACUGUGGUCACACUUGCCUGCUGAGAAGUGUAAUCCAGCUGUGUGCCCAGAAAGAAGGAGAGAAUGGGUGUUAGUGGCCAUUGCCAGAGCCGCUUUGCCACCUGCGCCUUGCACGCCGUUCCCUCUGUUUCUAGGAACAUCCGCUGCCUCCUUUCUGGCCCUUCUCUGACUAUGAGGCACCUGUGCACCUUCCAGAGUCCUUUAAGCAUGUCUUCCUCUAGGAAGUCUUUCUUGACCACCAGUGUGGGUCAAGUACCCCCCGAAGGCCUCUGCAGCACCCAAAGAUCCGUCAUGGUACAAACCACGCUCAUCUGCCAUUGCUUACUUUCUCAUCAGUCUCCUGCACUAGACCUUGAGACCCCACCUCAGAGGCUGCCUUUGGUCUCCUGGCCCUGGAUGCCCAGCACUGCCGGGCACUAAUGUCUGGAGCAGAGGAGACAGAGCCACAGGGACACGUGGGGAGGAAGACGGAGGGACUCUGGUUUGCUUCUACGCUGCCAGGAUAAUUUCAACCAAAAGAAGACCAGAGGGGGCCCUCGCAAUCCUAAUAUAAGGUAUCAUUUGAGACCUGGGCUGGGAUCCAUUCUCACAGUGGGGCCCCCAAGCAUGGCUGAUGCUCCCGAUGCAAAGAGAGCCCAGAUGCCUUAUUCUGAGUUCAGCCCCUAACUCUCUUUGACAGCCUGAUGAGCCCUGAGAAAGACAAGCAAACAGUGCCCUCAGCUUCCUGGCAGAGGCAGACAGAGGAACAGGCGCCCACUGUGUGAGCUGGGCUAGUGGCUGGAAUGGCCCACAUUGGCACCAUAUCUGGGCAUCAAGUAAAUAACUGGAGACACGCUGUAUAGCUUCUGCAACCCCCCACAUCGCUCCCAGUCACUUUGAGUCAGGACCCAAGACUGUAAAAUCUUAUUAACACAGGAGAGAAAGGCUGAGUCACUUCCACAGUGACUAGCUCACGGCAGGAAUCAUCACCAAGGCUGAGAAUGAGACAAUGGCGGCCUCUUCUCAUGUUGCGUUACUGGCCGGAGUCUCCACCUUGACAGCUUCUGAAGAGGGGAUUAUAGAGUUUACAUAUCCGGGGACAAAGAACAUGGGAGGUGAUCUCAUGGCACAUGAGGAACCAGACAGCAGAUGUGACUGGGGCAUAAGGCCUGAGGGGGCAGAGGAGCAGCUUCCCACAGCCACCCAGUCUCCUGCCCCGAGGCCACCAUGCUGGGGACGAGAAGGACCAGGAUGGGGGAGGAGGCAGGUGUCUGCGGGUCUGGGGUCUGCUGGUGCCCCUCCACCUCCAACACUCGUGUUUGCAAUUCUCUAGGGCCAAGUGGGUGAGAAACAGAAUCUACACAAAUUUCUUAAUCCUAAAUGGUUGGCUUGGGUUCCAAGAUUGGCAAGGUCAACAACAUAGAGAUGAAUCGUGCCUUUUGAAGCACACGCCUGGUGUUUCUUUUCUAAGCCCUUUGGGGAGCAUGGAGGGGGUCCGAUGGGACGAACACAGAACUCUCUCAAGAACUACCCCCUAAAGAUCUCAAGGGCAUCACAGCCUCAGACGGUAACUCCCAAAGGCCCCCGUGCUCUGUAGCCUCACCGAAGGGAAAAGCCACUGAGUUCUCACCCCUGUGGAAUCAUAGGGGUGGACCAGCACCAGUUAUGCAGGAACACUGAGCCGCUCAAAUGAUGAUGCUGAUGGCAUCUAUUUAUUAAAAUUUAAAGUGUACUAGGCACUGAGCUGGGGGAUUUCAAUGUCCUACCAUGUUUCGUCUUUGCAAUCAGUCUGUAAGAUGUCUACUACAUCAGUUUAGGUGGGAAACAUACUGUGGGCAAGAGCUGAAAAGCAGCUCCCUCUGCUUGAACCACACUGGCCUUUGUUUUCCUAGGAUCACGCCAAGCUUAUUUCCAACCUUAGGGCCUUUGCACGUGCUGUUUUUUCUGCCUCUGCCACAUACUUCACCCAGACCCCCUUGUGGGUUUCUCCUUACCUCAUUCAGGACUCUGCUCCAAAGGCCCCCUUCUCCAGAGAGGGUCCCUGAUUCCACAUAAAACAGUCCCCAACUCCCACCCAUUAUUCUCUGUCUCAUUAGCCUCCUUCCUCGUUCUUCGCAGCAUUUAACAGUACUGGGAAUUAAACCAUAGAUUGAUUUAUCUGUUAGUGGAUGGAAACAGGGACUUCAUCAUACUGAACACUGAACCUCCAGGACCUUGAAGAGAGCCUGGCACAUGGUGGGAGCUCAAAAAAUACUGGUUGGGCAAAUGAAUAAGCAAAAUCUCUGGAUGGUAAGGCCAGCGCCCACCCCGGGCACACAGUUCUCAGUAAGAACCAACAGAGCAGAGGGGCAUGGGAAAGAAGGAAGAAGAAGGAGGGAGCAGAAAAGCCUUUGCAGAUUCCAACACAAUUACGUUUGUUGAGUUUUUCUUGUGCAUCAACCUUAAUGACCCCAUAGUUCCUCGUUUAAGUCUCACGUCUUGUGAAGGAAGUAAUUUCAGUGAAGAAGGAGAAAUAUGAGAAUAUUGGGCAGAAACACAUUUGCAUCAACUCCUUGGUUAACUCUUUACAACAGGAAAGAGUCUUAUUAAAGAAGCACAUUGCCAAUUGCUUAUCUUUAUGUAGCAUAAACCACAAGACUUUGUGUUUAUUUUUUUAUGAUUCAGUUUCAUGAACCCCGCAGGGUGUUUAUUGUAUUUACUUUUACUAUAACUGCAAGAUAAAAAGUUGAUUUCUACCUUCUAAGCUGCUCUCAACUCAGCUUGUAGAAUCCCACCCCCUCUGGUUUGUGUGUAUUGACUCAAUUCUUUGGCUACCUGUGUAUUUCCUCUAUAAAUCGUUUUGUCAGUUUUUAUGGAGGAGGAGCCUGAGUUUUUCUAAAGAUGUGUCCAAACUAAAAUAUCAUUUUAUAACAAACAGCAAUAAAACAGCAUUUGAACCACUUAGCAUUGUUCCACUCACUUACUGGAACAAUGAGCCAACGAAAUCCUCCAGGGUCCUAAUCUGAAAUCCUGGGGGUCCCUGACACCCCUUCCCCUCCCUGCCCCCCCCCCCGCCCCUCCCUCCUUAUUAGAAGAAACCCUCAUCAGUGGCUUGGGCCUCUCCCUGCCUAGCAAGGCCAGGCUGGUUGGUGGGUCUGCGGUUAAACCUGAACUGACACAAAGAGGAUGUGGCUACUGUUGCAGGGCUGUGCAAAACCGGGGCUCUGAUGAGGUCUGGGCUUUGAGCAGGAUCCUCGUUUACGUAACCAGCCCCAGGCUGCCAGCUCCCUAGGCCCACUGGUGAGCCUGAUGGGUCCCUCCAUCCCUCCCGCUGUGCACCAGUGGGCGCCCCCAAAUCCAGGGGGUGGUUAGGAUUAGGGUCAGCGGUCACCCUGUGGCAGCUCAGACCCACUCAGUGCCAAAGUGGCCCACAGACUGCUCUUCAGAGGCGCCGGGAGCUCUUAAAGGGCUCGUGACGCUGAAAUAAUAACAUAUCCCUGAGCAGAGACACGUCACCCCCAAACGAAAUGGUGAACCAGCAUCACUUCAGAGAGCUGCUUCGGGUGCUCAUUCCCCCAUUUGCUUCCUGAUGAAAAGAGAGGAAAUGUGCAUGCGCCGAGCCCCAAUUCUCAUCCACCACAGUGUCCUGGGCAUUAAGUUCACAGGAGGAAAGUGUGGGGAGACCCCUUCUCCUGAGAACCCUCUUGCUGCAUCCGCCACUUAUUCCUUCCUGUAAAUGACUCCUCUCCACUUUCUUCUGAUUAAAUAUCUGCCUAGGGUGGGAGCACAGCCUGGGCAGGGGUUUUUAGCCAAACAACCUAACAUGACGUAGCCCAUCAUAGCUCAGGCUGUGGUUCAGUCCUGCCCCCGGGUGUUCUCACUACCGUCUUUGUUAUUGGGAAAACCAAGGCGCAGAGGAGCUGAUAACUCAUCCGGGCCAUAGAGCAAGGAUGAAGAUUACGGCUGGAAUUCCUGAUGCUUUUGACGUCCCGUGACGAGCAAGCAGGACCACUGAAAGCAAGCCUGGGCAAACCCGGCUCUCAGUGGGUGAAGAACCCACGGCCAGCGCCAGGCAGGGUACCACACGUUCGAGUUUACGAAACACGCUUAGGCUCUUGUCCCGGCAAUGACACAGGGACACUAGUGGCGAACAGAAGCAUCACUGGAUCACAGCCCUCUGGCUCGUUGCGGGCAGGGGCAAACACCAGCACGCUCCUGGGGGGCAAAUUCAGAAUGACCCCGUAGCUGGUUUUCAUAGUGAUGCCCUUGAGUGAGCAAGGCAAAUGGGACCCAAUUUCCAUUGCACUCGAGUUUCAGAGAGCAGUGGGUACACAAGGGACCGGGGAAAAUCUUCCAAUAAAAAUAUUUCACCCAGGCGUUGAGUGUCUCAAAGGAUAGGACUUAAAUGCUUCAAUAUUUAAUCUCUCUGAAAUGUCUCCUUCCCUAAUGGGCCCAGAGAAAUGAAAUGUUACCAUAUAUACCUACUAAUCUUCCAAACCUAAGUUCCAGCAUAAUAUUUUCUAAUUUGUUCAAAGUUGCCACUAAACAAUGACAAAAUUUACACUUCCCGAAAGCCUACAUAUUAAAAUGAAGGUAGUAUUUCUUGAAGUCUGGGAGAGUUAUGCCUCCUGCUUGGUUUUUGUUUCUCAGGAUUGCUUUGGCGAUUCUGGGUCUUUUGUGGUUCCAUAUAAAUGUUUGGAUUGUUUGUUCUAAUUCUGUGAACAAUGUCAUGGGUAAUUUGAUAGGGAUUGCAUUGAAUCUGUAGAUUGCUUUGGGUAGGAUGGCCAUUUUCACAAUAUUGAUUUUUCCAAUCCAGGAACAUGGAAUAUCUUUCCAUUUCUUUACAUCUUCUUUGAUUUCUUUGAUUAAGGUUUUAUAGUUCUCGGCAUAUAGGUCCUUUACCUCUUUGGUCAGGUGUAUUCCGAGGUAUUUGAUUUUGUGAGGUACAAUUUUAAAAGGUAUCAUUUUUUUGUAUUCCUUUUCUAAUGUUUCAUUGCUGGUAUACAGAAAUGCAACUGACUUCUGAAUGUUAAUCUUAUAUCCUGCUACUUUGCUGAAUUUAUUAAUCAGUUCAAGGAGUUUUGGGGUUGAGUCCUUAGGGUUUUCUAGGUAUAGUAUCAUAUCAUCUGCAUACAGUGACAGUUUGAUCUCUUCUCUUCCUAUAUGGAUGCCUUUUAUUUCUUUUGUUUGUCUAAUUGCUGUGCAAUCCCACUCUUGGGCAUCUAUCCGGACAAAGCUCUACUUAAAAGAGACACAUGCACCCGCAUGUUCAUUGCAGCCCUAUUCACAAUAGCCAGGACAUGGAAACAACCCAAAUGUCCAUCGACAGAUGAUUGGAUUCGAAGAUGUGGUAUAUAUACACAAUGGAAUACUACUCAGCCAUAAAAAGGAUGACAUAAUGCCAUUUGCAGCAACAUGGAUGGAACUAGAGAAUCUCAUACUGAGUGAAAUGAGCCAGAAAGACAAAGACAAAUACCAUAUGAUAUCACUUAUAACUGGAAUCUAAUAUCCAGCACAAAUGAACAUCUCCUCAGAAAAGAAAAUCAUGGACUUGGAGAAGAGACUUGUGGUUGCCUGAUGGGAGGGGGAGGGAGUGGGAGGGAUCGGGAGCUUAGGCUUAUCAGACACAACCUAGAAUAGAUUUAUAAGGAGAUCCUGCUGAAUAGCAUUGAGAACUAUGUCUAGAUACUCAUGUCGCAACAGAAGAAAGGGUGGGGGAAAAAACUGUAACUGCAAUGUAUACAUCUAAGGAUAACCUGACCCCCUUGCUGUACAGUGGGAAAAU